rnacentral:rRNA from 1 species
GUGGGGAAUUUUGGACAAUGGGCGAAAGCCUGAUCCAGCCAUGCCGCGUGCAGGAUGAAGGCCUUCGGGUUGUAAACUGCUUUUGUACGGAACGAAAAGACUCCUUCUAAUAAAGGGGGUCCAUGACGGUACCGUAAGAAUAAGCACCGGCUAACUACGUGCCAGCAGCCGCGGUAAUACGUAGGGUGCAAGCGUUAAUCGGAAUUACUGGGCGUAAAGCGUGUGCAGGCGGUUAUAUGAGACAGAUGUGAAAUCCCCGGGCUCAACCUGGGAACUGCAUUUGUGACUGUAUAGCUAGAGUACGGUAGAGGGGGAUGGAAUUCCGCGUGUAGCAGUGAAAUGCGUAGAUAUGCGGAGGAACACCGAUGGCGAAGGCAAUCCCCUGGACCUGUACUGACGCUCAUGCACGAAAGCGUGGGGAGCAAACAGGAUUAGAAACCCUAGUAGUCC